CUAACAUUAACAUUCUCUACACUCUCAGAAGGAGAACGCUUUCAAGUUUGAUUCAUCUUCUCUAGAUUACAAUUAUGGAAGAAACUUCUUGAAACAGAAUGGUAAUAUUACCCCUCGUGAUCCACAAAUUUGAUAUAGAGUCAGUUUCACCUGGUGAUUCUAUGAUGAAGUUGAUAAGAACUAAAUAUGCCAGUGGACCAUACCAGAAAAUUUAUGCUGUUAGAACGAUAUUUCCCAUUGAACACAAGUUCCGCAAGUUCGUUUCAUUUCAUACAAAUUGCAAGAACAUAAACAUUUCUGCAUCACAAAUGUACAUAAAGACCUGAAUGGAAUUUGUCAGUGACAAGGCACUGUGAAGUUUGAAGUGUGGACUACUUUGCAAUUCUUUUAGGUUGCACAUGGAGUAGUUAUUCCAGCCCAUUCAAAGCCAGAGACAAGUUUGGAACCAUACCACAUGCAGAUGACUAUAUGGCUAACCGUGAGCAAUGAAGUAACAAAUGGUAAACAUGAUCAUGUCCAGGCAAAUAUGGUGGCAAAAAUCAUUGAGGAGAAGAGCAGAGAGUUGUUACCGAUAAAAUAGCAGGAAGAGAUUGCAUAAAGUCACUUACAUGUUCACUAGAAUAUGGUCUCAUGGCUCAUCAGAAUUUUAAAUGAAUUCUACAAGCUCAAGAUUUCCAGGCAGUGGUCAUUGGUUGCUGGCCGGAGCAAACUAUUCUCAACAUUUACCUACUACUCUCUGAAGUACCCGCUUGAUCAUUCCUGGCGAUGCUACAACUGAACCCCUAAACUGCAGUCAAGUUCCAAAGCAACAAAGCUAGUUAGUAGAUGAUAGAGAGAGAGAGGGAGAGAGAGAGAGGAGGAGAGAGAGAGAG
rnacentral:lncRNA from 1 species